rnacentral:rRNA from 1 species
GACGAACGCUGGCGGCGUGCUUAACACAUGCAAGUCGAACGGAAAGGCCCUGCUUUUGUGGGGUGCUCGAGUGGCGAACGGGUGAGUAACACGUGAGUAACCUGCCCUUGACUUUGGGAUAACUUCAGGAAACUGGGGCUAAUACCGGAUAGGAGCUCCUGCUGCAUGGGGGGGGUUGGAAAGUUUCGGCGGUUGGGGAUGGACUCGCGGCUUAUCAGCUUGUUGGUGGGGUAGUGGCUUACCAAGGCUUUGACGGGUAGCCGGCCUGAGAGGGGGACCGGCCUCAUGGGGACUGCGAUACGGACCAGACUGCUACGGGAGGCAGCAGGGGGGAAUAUUGCACAAUGGGCGGAAGCCUGAUGCAGCAACGCCGCGUGCGGGAUGACGGCCUUCGGGUGGUAAACCGCUUUCGCCUGUGACGAAGCGUGAGUGACGGUAAUGGGUAAAGAAGCACCGGCUAACUACGUG